GGUGGGGCAGGAACGUGCCCGGGAUUGUGCGUUCUGGCGUGUGCCGUGGCCACGGCCCUCCGAUGCCCAGCGCUUGGACUGGGAAGGAGGGGAGUAGGAAGUCGGGUGCAGCGGGGCGAAGGGCUCUGCUGGGAGGAGGGGAGACAAAGAGGCAGGAUGGGUUUGAGGGGAGAAUCCCAGCUUACCGAGAUGGACUGCGCCUCUUGAAUGCAUUCGUCCAUUUAAGCAUUCCAAACUUUAUGAAUAUUUGUUCGCUGAGAGGCCUUCGAUUGCAGGAAAGACUGGAAAAGUGCUUGUCCUUAAGAAACUCCCAAACUGUCCCUGGUGGAGAACUGAAUAUAAAAGAACAAGAUCUGCGCUGCGAAGGAGGUCUCUGGAAGCAGGAGCUUCUCUGGGGCUCCAGUUCUUGCUAGCCAGGCCACCACGGUUCUAGUUCUCACCAAGUGAUCCAGGUAUCUGAGCUCAGUGAGAAAGCUGGCUUCCAAAAUCAGCAUGUAUACCAACCACAGCAGGUGGCAAGAGAAAAAAAAACAGCCUUGCAGAGGACCUUGCAAAUCUCAUAGCAAGAGGCAUUCUUGCAACAUCUCUGUCUGGGACUUGAACUUGACCAGGUUCCCACUGAAUGUUGAAGACUGCUAUUUGUGGCCACUGGCUGAAAUCCUCAUCUAGUUACUGAUGUAGGAGCACAAGCUAGCUGAAUGUGGGGUGAGGGAAGGCCAUUAUUUUGUUAUAUGUAACAAGGAAAUGCACUCAAGAUGUUAAAUUUGAAGAAUCACAUGUGCUAACAGUGUCAACUUAGGUGCUUUAUUUUCUGCAGAAGUAGAACUCUAUUUAAAUUCAGCUUCCUGGAAAAUCAGAAUAGUUGGAUAAUAUCCAUCUCCCAAAGCUAAAUUUUCAUAGUGAUCCAGUGGUUCAAAUGAGAAGUUACAGACAUAGAUGCUGUGAAAACAGGCAGUACCUGUUGGAGAACCACCUUCAGACAAUGUGGUACAACCUUCCUCCAGGAUGGAUAUAUAUAGUUAGGCUAGGUUCUCAUCUCUCCAGCCAGCUAUGGCUGCCAUAUUCCUUUUCAUUAGAGUAAAGCCAGGCUUCACUCCACAGCCUCCUUUCCCACAAAUCCUUAUAGAGGGCCUACUACAUAUAUGA